ensembl:lncRNA
AGCUAAUGACUGUGAAUUAGAAAGUUGUCCGGUUUGAUGAGAACAAUAUAUGUAACCCCCACCUCCCCACCGCCACACACACACACACACACACACACACUUUUGUUGCGCCAUAGAGCGUCCAUUUAUGAGCUUUUGCCAAUGUCUACCUAUCAUUAAUACGGAUGUGUGUGUCGAGUUUCAUGAAAUUAAAACAUGGCAACAGUAUUUAAGAUAUCAAGAAUCCUUUAGCAGUUUUACAUCUGCCAUGUUUUGAGAUUAUUCUGAUGAAGAAAAUCCAGUAAAAAUAAGAGGCUGAUUUCAACACUUCCUGCUGCCAGUUGGUGGCGCCAUAACCUUGACUCCUAAUAGUCACAUCUAUGUGAUCUGCCUCAUCAAACACACUGCUGAAGAUUGAUCAAAAUCAGACACAGUGCACAAAAGUUAUUAGACACUUACCAUUCCCCUAUUUUCACCAUAUUUUCCUCUCCUCGCCACCAUUCAAGAUAUCAAAAAUUCCUUCACAAUUUAGUAUCCCCAAAGAGAGAAGAGAAGAGAAGAGAAGAGAAGAGAAGAGAAGAGAAGAGAAGAGAAGAGAAGAGAAGAGAAGAGAAGAGAAGAGAAGAGAAGAGAAGAGCUGUUCUAUCAGGACAGACCUCAUUUCAAGCGCAACUUUGAACAAUUAAAACUUACAGGUAUCAUUUCCUCUGUUCAGACAAGAAAAAGAAGUUUUGCUGAAGGGCUAAUGCUGUUUAACAAGCUGACGAGUCAAGAUCAUAUAGCCCCACCUAAUGCAUGUGAGUAUAUUACAAGCAACCUGCAGAGGAAAUCUGAUCCAGUGUGAGCGGGGCAGAGCACAGCCUCGGGGGAACAGGUGCAUUAUGGGAGAAGACAUGUUUAGAGCAAUCUAUUGCUCCUUUAUUCUCUAGUAUAUGCAUUCGGAAUAAUAGCAUUUAGGAUCUAUUGAAUAGCAUUGGAUCUAUUGCAGCUCAUCCUCAUCAGAACAGAUUUGGAGAAAUGUAGCAUUCCAUCACUUGCUCAUCAAUGGAUGCUCUGCAGUGAAUGGGUGCCGUCAGAAUGAGAGUCCAAACAGCUGAUAAAAACAUCACAGUAAUCCACACCAUGCAAUUAAUGUCUUGUGAAGCGAAAAGAUGUGUGUUUGUAAGAAACAAAUCCAUUAAGACAUUUUUUUUUUAAUUUAAACCAUUGCUUUCAGCUAAAAUAUGAGUCCUCAGUGCAUAAUAUUGGUCUCUCUAGUGAAAAACCUGUCUUGUCUGAAUCAGAAGAGAAAUAUAAGCGGAUCAAGUACAGUUUGCAAGUAAAAGUCUAAAACAGAUCUACAAAUACAAUUAUGUGGGAGGAUUUUGUUUUUCACUCACUUGUUAUUCUGAAGGAAAUGCAGAAUACAGGAUUUCAGAUCAAUUGACAAGUUGAGCGCCCUGUUUGGCCUUUCUGUCAUUUCUGCAGCAGUGAUUCAGCUCCACACGGACUCCAGUCAGCAGUGCAGCCACACACACGUCUUACUCAAGAGGGUCACUGACCCGAAACAGGGCCCACCCACAGAUAAAGGUCAAAAAGCCCUGCAUCUGAGUGCUGCAACAAGACAUUCUCAUAUAGAAAUGUAGAGGACAAUUGGCAAUUGAAAGCUGUGACACCUUACCCCAUAUAGUGUAUAAAAGUGUAAUCUCCAGUUGGGACCUGUUGUCAAUGACCUGUUGGCUUGAUUAAGUGGUGGACAAAACUCAGAGGCAUUUACAGUCACACACAGGUGUAAUAGCCGUAGUGUGAGAACUCUACUAAAGGACACAGGAAUGUGUAGUAUUAUCUAUCUAUCACUAUAGAGCACAAUCAUUGUGCAAGCAUGAACACUUUCUAUACUGUACAUUCAGAACUCGUGCAGAAACAGUAAAUAUGUGUAGGUUUGUCCUCAUCUAAAGUAUUCAGUGAAUAAACAAACCUCUCUUCCGUGAGGCCUUCA